GGAGGGGUCGCAUAGCGGUCGAGUGCCGAUGUUUACUAAACAUCUGUAGGCUUAACACCUACCAAGGGUUCGAAUCCCUUCCCCUCCG
rnacentral:tRNA from 1 species